CAUUAGUGAACGCCCUCACGGGCUUAUAACUAUUCCAAACCUCUGUGAACCGUGCCCUUCGGGGCUAUUUUACAAACAUGGUGUAAUGAACGUCAUAUAUCAUAACAAAACAAAACUUUCAACAACGGAUCUCUUGGCUCUCGCAUCGAUGAAGAACGCAGCGAAAUGCGAUAAGUAAUGUGAAUUGCAGAAUUCAGUGAAUCAUCGAAUCUUUGAACGCACCUUGCGCCCUCUGGUAUUCCGGAGGGCAUGCCUGUUUGAGUGUCAUGUAGACUCAAUCCCUCGGGUUUCCGAGGAGAUUGGACUUGGGUGUUGCCGCUCUGCCGGCUCGCCUUAAAAGACUUAGCGGGAUAGCACCGUAGUCGGCGUAAUAAGUUUCGUCGGUGAAGGUUGUGAUGACUGCUUACAAUCGCCCUCGGGCAAUUUUUGACUCUGGCCUCAAAUCAGGUAGGACUACCCGCUGAACUUAAGCAUAUCAAUA
rnacentral:rRNA from 1 species